rnacentral:rRNA from 1 species
GACGAACGCUGGCGGCGUGCCUAAUACAUGCAAGUAGAACGCUGAAGGAGGAGCUUGCUUCUCUGGAUGAGUUGCGAACGGGUGAGUAACGCGUAGGUAACCUGCCUGGUAGCGGGGGAUAACUAUUGGAAACGAUAGCUAAUACCGCAUAAUAUUGACUAUUGCAUGAUAGUCAGUUGAAAGGUGCAACUGCACCACUACCAGAUGGACCUGCGUUGUAUUAGCUAGUUGGUGGGGUAACGGCUCACCAAGGCGACGAUACAUAGCCGACCUGAGAGGGUGAUCGGCCACACUGGGACUGAGACACGGCCCAGACUCCUACGGGAGGCAGCAGUAGGGAAUCUUCGGCAAUGGACGGAAGUCUGACCGAGCAACGCCGCGUGAGUGAAGAAGGUUUUCGGAUCGUAAAGCUCUGUUGUAAGAGAAGAACGAGUGUGAGAGUGGAAAGCUCACACUGUGACGGUAUCUUACCAGAAAGGACGGCUAACUACGUG